rnacentral:rRNA from 1 species
CACGCCGUAAACGAUGACUACUAGGUGUCGGGGAGCAAAGCUCUUCGGUGCCGCAGCAAACGCAAUAAGUAGUCCACCUGGGGAGUACGUUCGCAAGAAUGAAACUCAAAGGAAUUGACG